GGGCCCGCACAAGCAGCGGAGCGUGUGGUUUAAUUCGAUGCAACGCGCAGAACCUUACCUCGGCUUGACAUGCACGUGGUACUGAUCCGAAAGGAAAGGGACCCGCGAGGGAGCGUGCACAGAUGCUGCAUGGCUGUCGUCAGCUCGUGCCGUGAGGUGUUGGGUUAAGUCCCGCAACGAGCGCAACCCUUGUCCUUAGUUGCCUUCUCUAAGGAGACCGCCGGUCUAAACCGGAGGAAGGUGGGGAUGACGUCAAGUCAGCACGGCUCUUACGUCGAGGGCUACACACACGCUACAAUGGCCGGUACAACGGGCUGCCAAGGGGUGACCCGGAGCUAAUCCCACCAAAGCCGGUCUCAGUUCGGAUUGCAGGCUGCAACUCGCCUGCAUGAAGUCGGAGUUGCUAGUAACUGCCAGUCAGCACAUGGCAGUGAAUACGUUCCCGGGCCUU
rnacentral:rRNA from 1 species